rnacentral:rRNA from 1 species
ACAUGCAGUCGAACGAUGAAGCCCAGCUUGCUGGGUGGAUUAGUGGCGAACGGGUGAGUAACACGUGAGUAACCUGCCCUUAACUCUGGGAUAAGCCUGGGAAACUGGGUCUAAUACCGGAUAGGAGCGCCUACCGCAUGGUGGGUGUUGGAAAGAUUUAUCGGUUUUGGAUGGACUCGCGGCCUAUCAGCUUGUUGGUGAGGUAAUGGCUCACCAAGGCGACGACGGGUAGCCGGCCUGAGAGGGUGACCGGCCACACUGGGACUGAGACACGGCCCAGACUCCUACGGGAGGCAGCAGUGGGGAAUAUUGCACAAUGGGCGCAAGCCUGAUGCAGCGACGCCGCGUGAGGGAUGACGGCCUUCGGGUUGUAAACCUCUUUCAGUAGGGAAGAAGCGAAAGUGACGGUACCUGCAGAAGAAGCACCGGCUAACUACGUGCCAGCAGCCGCGGUAAUACGUAGGGUGCGAGCGUUAUCCGGAAUUAUUGGGCGUAAAGAGCUCGUAGGCGGUUUGUCGCGUCUGUCGUGAAAGUCCGGGGCUUAACCCCGGAUCUGCGGUGGGUACGGGCAGACUAGAGUGCAGUAGGGGAGACUGGAAUUCCUGGUGUAGCGGUGGAAUGCGCAGAUAUCAGGAGGAACACCGAUGGCGAAGGCAGGUCUCUGGGCUGUAACUGACGCUGAGGAGCGAAAGCAUGGGGAGCGAACAGGAUUAGAUACCCUGGUAGUCCAUGCCGUAAACGUUGGGCACUAGGUGUGGGGACCAUUCCACGGUUUCCGCGCCGCAGCUAACGCAUUAAGUGCCCCGCCUGGGGAGUACGGCCGCAAGGCUAAAACUCAAAGGAAUUGACGGGGGCCCGCACAAGCGGCGGAGCAUGCGGAUUAAUUCGAUGCAACGCGAAGAACCUUACCAAGGCUUGACAUGUUCUCGAUCGCCGUAGAGAUACGGUUUCCCCUUUGGGGCGGGUUCACAGGUGGGUGCAUGGUUGUCGUCAGCUCGUGUCGUGAGAUGUUGGGGUUAAGUCCCGCAACGA